rnacentral:rRNA from 1 species
GACGAACGCUGGCGGCGCGCCUAACACAUGCAAGUCGAACGAGCGGGAGAGAGCUUGCUUUCUUGAGCGAGUGGCGCACGGGUGAGUAACGCGUGAGGAACCUGCCUCAAAGAGGGGGACAACAGUUGGAAACGACUGCUAAUACCGCAUAAGCCCACGACCCGGCAUCGGGUUGAGGGAAAAGGAGCAAUCCGAUUUGAGAUGGCCUCGCGUCCCAUUAGCUAGUUGGUGAGGUAACGGCCCACCAAGGCGAGGAUCGGUAGCCGGACUGAGAGGUUGAACCGACACACUUGGGGUAGGCAACGGCCGGGAAUCCUGCGGGAUGGGGGAAAGGGGGAUAUUGCCAAAUCGGGGGAACGCUGAUGCAGCGACGCCGCGUGGAGGAUGAAGGUCUGCGGAUUGUGAACUCCUGUUGUAGAGGAAGAUAAUGACGGUACUCAACGAGGAAGUGACGGCUAACUACGUG